GAAAGAUGGAGACAACACUUCCUGUUCACGGCUUUCGCCUUCAACAAAGAUGGUGCUUAUGGUACAGGUUCCCUAACAGUCUGGAUUCCGGUUGCGGUUUCUUUCUUUUUUUUUUUUUUUUAAUAUACGUGUUUGCAGACGGAGAAAUGGAGGCUAGAGACAAGCAAGUGCUUCGCUCCCUUCGCCUGGAGCUGGGUGCAGAGGUACUGGUGGAGGGACUGGUUCUCCAGUAUCUUUACCAGGAAGGGGUCCUGACAGAAAACCAUGUUCAAGAAAUCAAAGCUCAAGCCACAGGCCUCCGGAAAACAAUGCUGCUGCUGGAUAUCCUACCUUCCAGAGGUCCUAAAGCAUUUGAUGCAUUCCUAGAUUCCUUGCAGGAAUUUCCCUGGGUUAGGGAGAAGCUGGAGAAGGCAAGGGAAGAAUCCAUAACUGAGCUGCCUGCAGAUGACCAGAUGACUGGGAUCCCCCUGCACAUCCUCAACAGCUCCCCAUCCGACCAGCAGAUCAACCAGCUGGCUCAGAGGCUGGGCCCUGAGUGGGAGCCUGUGGUGCUGUCUUUGGGCCUGUCCCAGACGGAUAUCUACCGCUGUAAGGCCAACCACCCCCACAACGUACAGUCGCAGAUGGUGGAGGCCUUCAUCCGCUGGAGGCAGCGCUAUGGGAAGCAGGCCACCUUCCGGAGCUUGCACAGAGGCCUCCAGGCCGUGGAGGCGGACCCCUCCGUGCUCCAGCACAUGUUGGAGUGAUGGGGUCUCCCUCCAUCAACCCACGGGGGAGUGUGUCCCCAAGUUGCAUGUGCAGAAUCCUGACUUUCUCCCAGGGCAGGUUUUUCAUAUACGUGAUUUCAUUUGGGCCUCACAAAAAUCCUACGAAGUAGUUGGGCAAGAGAGGUGAGUCUCCUUCUGUAGUGAGAUUAAGUGAUUUGCUGGGGGCGAAUGAGCUAGAAUGUGUCUUUGGAGCCCUGCUUCUUUCCAGCUGCUCCCUGCUGCUUCUCCUCCCCUCUCCCGUGCUCCUCGAAGAAGCUUGAGUCCUGUUCUCCUGUUAGCAUUGCCGUGGACAAGCUGCUCCUCUUCUCUAACCCUGCGCAAAAGAGGAAAUGAUUGUCCCCUCCUCCAAGAUUUUUGUGAUAAUUAAGGGAAAAAUGUCUGCCCAGGACUCAUCUAGUGCCUGGCCCUUAGUCAGCUCUCAGAAGUGGUAACUGUUCAUUUGCUGCUGUGGCUGCCCAUGGAUGAAGUUCACAGGCAGAGCUGGUUAGUGGCUAAAGCUGAGGGCACUGCAGAAGGAAGUGCUGCGACCAUGUUCCCUGCCAAGCUUUAACAUGUGAUGUAAUUUACUAACUCUGCCAUGGGUCCAAUCAAGAGAGGGACAGGAUGGGGCGCCUGGGUGGCUCAGUCAUUAAGCGUCUGCC